AUAUAAGAUUUUUGAAACAACAAAGAAAUUGAGAAAGUAGAUGGAGUUGAUGAUAAAAGUGAUAAUGAAAGAGGUGACUUUGAAAGACAAAGGAGAGAAAAGAUGGUUUUAUGGUUUGGACCAGAGGAUUCUUGGUUGAAUCAAAAAAUGAAAUGAAUAACUGAAGACUUCUUUAUGAAGCCUGGUGCUUAAUCUAACAUCACACUUAAUCUUUAUUAUAAAAUGAAUGGAAAUUUAGUUUUAAUAGUGUGAAAAUGAGAAUUCAGAAAAAAUUCAAAAUGUAUAAGGGAAUGCUAUACAAUGCAAAUUAGUACCAGAUGUUUAUUUUGAAAAAUAUUUGGUUUGAAUGUAUGACAACAGAAUGUUAAAGAUUAAAUAAUGCUGAAGUUGAAUUAAACUGAAUUGGAUUUAUUAUAUUCAAACCAUUAAGAGGUGGGAAAUGGAAUGAAGGAACCUAUCCACUUCAUCAAAAGGCAGAAAUGGAAACAAGAAAAACAAAAGGAAGAAGAAGAAAUUAUGGUUAAAAAUAAAAUGACAGGAAUAAGUCCAUUUAUAUUUACAAUAAAUAUAAAUGGGUUAAUUUUAUAAAUAAACAUGGAGAGGUACUUAGUAUUUAAAAAAAUUUUUUUGGCAUAAGAAAAGUACAGCAUAAGAAACUUGAAACUAUUAGGGUAAAAUUUUUAUAAGACUAAUCAAAGGAAAGCUACAUUGGCAUCUUGUACAGUUAUACAUUAUUUAAUACGAGGGAUAUAUUCUGAUAAAAGGUUGUUAGAUGAUUUCAUUACAUUGAUAACAUAGUGUCCUUACAGAAAUUACCAAGU
rnacentral:lncRNA from 1 species